rnacentral:lncRNA from 1 species
UAAGUUAGAAAAUUAAGUUAGAUUUUUUAGUUAGAUUGUUAAGUUAGAUUUUUAAGUUAGAAAAUAAAGUUAGAAAUUCGUAGUAGGCACCGCCGUCCCCUCCGCCGUCCCGCCGCCGUGACCGCCACCGUCCCGCCGCCCGUCACAACCUAGUAGGCACCGCCCGUCACAACCUAGUAGGCACCGCCCGUGGUUCCGGGGAACCGUCCCCGCCUCCGCCGUACCGCCGCCCUGACCGCCGCCGUCACAACCUAGGCACCGCCCGUGGUUCCAGGGAACCGUCCCCGCCUCCGCCGCCCUGAUCGCCGCAGUCACAACCUAGGCACCGCAUGUGGAUAUUGCUAGAAAUUCGUAGAAAUUCGUAGAAAUUCGUAGAAAUUCGU